rnacentral:rRNA from 1 species
GUCUACAGCCACACCAGCCUAAAAGCACCCACUCUUAUCUGAUCUUGGAAGCUAAGUGAGGUUCGGCCUGGUUAGUACUUGGAUGGGAGAAGGCUCUGAUCAGAUGUGGCCC